AUUGAACACUGGCGGCAUGCCUUACACAUGCAAGUCGAACGGCAGCAUGAUCUAGCUUGCUAGAUUGAUGGCGAGUGGCGAACGGGUGAGUAAUACAUCGGAACGUGCCCAGUAGUGGGGGAUAACUAGUCGAAAGAUUAGCUAAUACCGCAUACGACCUGAGGGUGAAAGUGGGGGACCGCAAGGCCUCAUGCUAUAGGAACGGCCGAUGUCUGAUUAGCUAGUUGGUGAGGUAAAGGCUCACCAAGGCGACGAUCAGUAGCUGGUCUGAGAGGACGAUCAGCCACACUGGGACUGAGACACGGCCCAGACUCCUACGGGAGGCAGCAGUGGGGAAUUUUGGACAAUGGGGGCAACCCUGAUCCAGCAAUGCCGCGUGUGUGAAGAAGGCCUUCGGGUUGUAAAGCACUUUUGUCCGGAAAGAAAUCGCACUUACUAAUAUUAGGUGUGGAUGACGGUACCGGAAGAAUAAGGACCGGCUAACUACGUGCCAGCCGCCGCCGUAAUAC
rnacentral:rRNA from 1 species